UACCGAGGUCCCAAGCGUUAUUCGGAUUCACUGGGCGUAAAGGGUGCGCAGGCGGUUGUGUGUGUCAGGUGUGAAAGCCCGGGGCUUAACCCCGGAAUUGCGCCUGAAACUACAUGACUAGAGCAUUGGAGAGGGUAGCGGAAUUCACGGUGUAGCAGUGAAAUGCGUAGAUAUCGUGAGGAACACCAGAGGCGAAGGCGGCUACCUGGACAAUUGCUGACGCUCAGGCACGAAAGCGUGGGGAGCAAAAGGG
rnacentral:rRNA from 1 species